AUUGAACGCUAGCGGGAUGCCUUACACAUGCAAGUCGAACGAGUGGCGGACGGGUGUGUAAUCUAUCGGAACGUGCCCAGGAGCGGGGGAAAAAUAGUCGACAGAGUGGAUAAUAUCGCAUACUAUUGGCACGGCCGAUAUCGGAUUAGCGAGUUGGUGGGGUAAACGCUCACCAAGGCAACGAUCCAUAUCUGGUUUGAGCGGACGACCCGCCACACUGGGACUAAGACACGGCCCAGAAUCCUACGGGAGGCAGCAGUGGGGAAUUUUGGACAAUGGGGGAAACCCUGAUCCAGCCAUCCCGCGUGUAUGAGAAGGCCUUCGGGUUGUAAAGUACUUUUGGCAGAGAAGCGGUAUCUGCAGAAUAAGCACCGGCUAACGACGUGCCAGCAGCCGCGGUAAUAC
rnacentral:rRNA from 1 species